rnacentral:rRNA from 1 species
UACGUAGGGGGCGAGCGUUGUCCGGAAUCAUUGGGCGUAAAGCGCGUGUAGGCGGCCCGGUAAGUCCGCUGUGAAAGUCCAGGGCUCAACCCUGGGAUGCCGGUGGAUACUGUCGGGCUCGAGUCCGGAAGAGGCGAGUGGAACUCCUGGUGUAGCGGUGAAAUGCGCAGAUAUCAGGAGGAACACCAAUGGCGAAGGCAGCUCGCUGGGACGUGACUGACGCUGAGACGCGAAAGCGUGGGGAGCAAACAGG